rnacentral:rRNA from 1 species
UACGUAGGGCGCAAGCGUUAUCCGGAAUUAUUGGGCGUAAAGAGCUCGUAGGCGGUUUGUCGCGUCGGCCGUGAAAUCUCCACGCUUAACGUGGAGCGUGCGGUCGAUACGGGCAGACUUGAGUUCGGUAGGGGAGACUGGAAUUCCUGGUGUAGCGGUGAAAUGCGCAGAUAUCAGGAAGAACACCCGUGGCUAAGGCGGCUCUCUAGUACGGUACUGACGCUGAGACGCGAAAGCGUGGGGAGCGAACAGG